rfam:Deltaproteobacteria bacterium RIFCSPLOWO2_12_FTLL_60_16 rifcsplowo2_12_scaffold_33617, whole genome shotgun sequence.
AGUCGGGUCCUGUGCAAGGCGGAGCCGUAAACCCCGUCAGGUCCGGAAGGAAGCAGCGGUAGCGGAUUAUCCCCUGUGCCACAGGGUAGCCUGGCUGUC